UUGACUCAGCAGUGGGUCACUCAGCUUGUACGUCGAUGAAGAAUGCAGCUAGCUGCGAGAUUUAAUGUGCAUUGCGGGACACGUUGAUCAUCGACACUCUGAACACACUUGCAGCCCUGUCUGAGGGUCU
ensembl:rRNA 5_8S_rRNA 5.8S ribosomal RNA